rnacentral:rRNA from 1 species
AGAAUCAACGCUGGCGGCGUGCCUAACACAUGCAAGUCGAACGAGAAAGUGGAGCAAUCCAUGAGUAAAGUGGCGUACGGGUGAGUAACACGUGACUAACCUACCCUCGAGUGGGGAAUAACCUCGGGAAACCGGGGCUAAUACCGCAUAAUAUCUUCGGAUCAAAUGCGUAAGCAGCUUGAGGAGGGGGUCGCGGCCGAUUAGCUAGUUGGCGGGGUAAUGGCCCACCAAGGCAAUGAUCGGUAGCCGGCCUGAGAGGGCGCACGGCCACACUGGAACUGAAACACGGUCCAGACUCCUACGGGAGGCAGCAGUGGGAAUUUUGCGCAAUGGGGGAAACCCUGACGCAGCAACGCCGCGUGGAGGAUGAAGCCCCUUGGGGUGUAAACUCCUUUCGAUCGGGACGAUUAUGACGGUACCGGAUGAAGAAGCACCGGCUAACUCUGCGCCAGCAGCCGC